GCGUUUCUCCGGACAUUCUCGUCAGUCUACCCGGGAAAGAGCACCGAAGCGACGGUGCACCUUCGUCGGACCUCGCGCUGUGAGGAAGUCACUAAGCAGGAUUGCUGUGUUGCAUUCAAGGUGGCAGAGUCGUUUGCAGGAAAGCAUCUGAAAUGGGAUUCUUGGAGAACAACAGAUGCAAUUGUUGCCGAUGUCACUUCUGAUGCUGACUCAAGCCUCUAUUGAGAAGAUUGUACUCAACGUCAUGGAAAAGCAGCAGCAACAUCAACAGGAACAACAACAACAACAACCGGGGCAAAAGAAGGGACACACAAAAGACAAAGUUCUUUCAGCUAGAACUGGAUGCCACACAGAAAAGGGUGACAGAGAAAGGACAGCAGAAGAGGAAGAUAACUGAUUGCCAGUCCACAGGUCGCAAGUGUUGGUUCUGUAAGAUGGAACUGAAGCAGGGCCCAAACAGUCGUCACAGUCACACUGGGUUCCCUGGAGUAACAGGGAAGUACAUUUUCUUUCAAAACCUUUUCACUAUACAAAGACCAGGGCAUGGACGAGGAAAUGAUGUGGAGAGAGUUCCAGGGGUCUGCUUUCUUUGAGAAAGAAAAACAGAGAUGGGAGGCUGAAAGGAGGAAAGAAGAGAAAUAAUAGGGGGAGUUCCAUCUAGCAUUUUAAGUCCAAUUAUUUGGAAUAUUCAUGUUGUAAUUAGUUUAUAUAUUGGUUUCUUGCAUUUGUGACUUUGUACAUUUCAAAUAUUAUCUUUUUAUUUUUUUCUUUAUAUUUGGUUUUAUGGUUUGAUAUUCAUUAGUUGAAUUAUUUAGAUGUCUUUAUUUCUGUAACAUUGUUGUUUGUAUAGGACUAUACAAAUCUGUUGAUCUAUCUGUGUGCAACAUUUACUGUCUAAGUUAAUAGAUACAUUACUAAUGUCUA